CCCGCUGAUUUUAAGCAUAUCAAUAAGCAGAGGAAAAGAAACUUACCAGGAUUCCCCUAGUACUGGCGAGCGAACAGGGAAAAGUCCAGCUUGAGAAUCGGGCGCCACCGGCGUUCGAAUUGUAGUCUAGAGAAGCGUCAUCAGCGGUGGACCGGGCUCAAGUCCCCAAGAAAGGGGCGCCGGAGAGGGUGAGAGCCCCAUCGUGCCCGAACCUUGUCGUACCACGAGGCACUGUCUACGAGUCGGGUUGUUUGGGAAUGUAACACCCCGAACCCGAGACCGACACCGGAGUCGAACACGAGGUGUU
rnacentral:ncRNA from 1 species